GGGGCUGCUCCUAGUACGAGAGGACCGGAGUGGACGCAUCACUGGUGUUCGGGUUGUCAUGCCAAUGGCACUGCCCGGUAGCUAAAUGCGGAAGAGAUAAGUGCUGAAAGCAUCUAAGCACGAAACUUGCCCCGAGAUGAGUUCUCCCUGAGACUUAGAGUCUCCUGAAGGAACGUUGAAGACGACGACGUUGAUAGGCCGGGUGUGUAAGCGCAGCGAUGCGUUGAGCUAACCGGUACUAAUGAACCGUGAGGCUUAACCUUACAACGCCGAAG
rnacentral:rRNA from 1 species